rnacentral:rRNA from 1 species
UCCGUGACGAAGUUAACACAUUAAGCACCCCGCUUGGGGAGUACGUUCGCAAGACUAAAACUCAAAGGAAUUGACGGGGGCCCGCACAAGCGCCGGAGCAUGCGGAUUAAUUCGAUGCAACGCGAAGAACCUUACCAAGGCUUGACAUAUAGAGGAAACGUGCAGAAAUGUACGCCCCGCAAGGUCUCAAUACAGGUGGUGCAUGGUUGUCGUCAGCUCGUGUCGUGAGAUGUUGGGUUAAGUCCCGCAACGAGCGCAACCCUCGUCCUAUGUUGCCAGCACGUAAUGGUGGGAACUCAUGGGAGACUGCCGGGGUCAACUCGGAGGAAGGUGGGGAUGACGUCAAAUCAUCAUGCCCCUUAUGUCUUGGGCUUCACGCAUGCUACAAUGGCCAGUACAAAGGGCUGCAAUACCGUAAGGUGGAGCGAAUCCCAAAAAGCUGGUCUCAGUUCGGAUUGAGGUCUGCAACUCGACCUCAUGAAGUCGGAGUCGCUAGUAAUCGCAGAUCAGCAACGCUGCGGUGAAUACGUUCCCGGGCCUUGUACACACCGCCCGUCAAGUCACGAAAGUCGGUAACACCCGAAGCCGGUGGCCUAACCGCAAGGAAGGAGCCG